rnacentral:rRNA from 1 species
UACGUAGGUGGCAAGCGUUAUCCGGAUUUAUUGGGCGUAAAGGGAACGCAGGCGGUCUUUUAAGUCUGAUGUGAAAGCCUUCGGCUUAACCGGAGUAGUGCAUUGGAAACUGUGAGACUUGAGUGCAGAAGAGGAGAGUGGAACUCCAUGUGUAGCGGUGAAAUGCGUAGAUAUAUGGAAGAACACCAGUGGCGAAAGCGGCUCUCUGGUCUGUAACUGACGCUGAGGUUCGAAAGCGUGGGUAGCAAACAGG